rnacentral:rRNA from 1 species
ACUAAAUAGAUACCCGGGUAGUCCACGCUGUAAACGAUGAGUGCUAGAUGCCGGAUUUUUCGGUGUCGCAGCUAAACGCAUUAAGCACUCCACCUGGGAAGUACGAUCGCAAGGUUGAAACUCACAGGAAUUGACGGGGGCCCGGCACAAGCAGUGGAGCAUGUGGUUUAAUUCGAUGCAACGCGAAGAACCUUACCUAGGCUUGAAAAGCUUAUGACCGGCUGUGAAAGCAGCUUUCCCGCAAGGGCAUAAGUACAGGUGCUGCAUGGCUGUCGUCAGCUCGUGCCGUGAGGUGUUGGGUUAAGUCCCGCAACGAGCGCAACCCUUACCAUUAGUUGCCACCGGAGCAAUCCGAGCACUCUAAUGGAACUGCCUACGCAAGUAGUGAGGAAGGUGAGGAUGACGUCAAGUCCGCAUGGCCCUUACGCCUAGGGCUACACACGUGCUACAAUGGCCGCCACAA